GCCUGGCUGGCUCAGUCAUUGGAGCAUGAGACUCUUGAUCUCAAGGUCUUGAGUUCGAGCCCCAGUUGGGUA
rnacentral:tRNA from 1 species